rnacentral:rRNA from 1 species
UCYGGUUGAUCCUGCCRGACCCGACUGCUAUCAGAGUGGGACUAAGCCAUGCGAGUCAACGCAGCAAUGCGUGGCAUACGGCUCAGUAACACGUAGUCAACAUGCCCAGGGGACGUGGAUAACCUCGGGAAACUGAGGAUAAACCGCGAUAGGCCAAGGUUUCUGGAAUGGACACUGGCUGAAACCUAUAUGGCCCCUGGAUUGGACUGCGGCCGAUCAGGCUGUUGGUGAGGUAAUGGCCCACCAAACCUGUAACCGGUACGGGCUUUGAGAGAAGGAGCCCGGAGAUGGGCACUGAGACAAGGGCCCAGGCCCUAUGGGGCGCAGCAGGCGCGAAAAUUCUGCAAUAGGCGAAAGCUUGACAGAGUUACUCUGAGUGAUGCCCGCUAAGGGCAUCUUUUGGCACCUCUAAAAAUGGUGCAGAAUAAGGGGUGGGCAAGUCUGGUGUCAGCCGCCGCGGUAAUACCAGCACCCCGAGUGGUCGGGACGAUUAUUGGGCCUAAAGCAUCCGUAGCUUGUUCUGCAAGUCUUCCGUUAAAUCCACCUGCUCAACAGAUGGGCUGCGGGAGAUACUACAGGGCUAGGAGGCGGGAGAGGCAAGCGGUACUCAGUGGGUAGGGGUAAAAUCCUCUGAUCCACUGAAGACCACCAGUGGCGAAGGCGGCUUGCCAGAACGCGCUCGACGGUGAGGGAUGAAAGCUGGGGGAGCAAACCGGAUUAGAUACCCGGGUAGUCCCAGCUGUAAACGAUGCAGACUCGGUGAUGGGUUGGCUUUGCGCCAACCCAGUGCCGCAGGGAAGCCGUUAAGUCUGCCGCCUGGGGAGUACGGGUCGCAAGACUGAAACUUAAAGGAAUUGGCGGGGGAGCACCACAAGGGGUGAAGGCCUGCGGUUCAAUUGKABUCAACGCCGGR